rnacentral:rRNA from 1 species
UGGGGUAUAUUGGACAAUGGGGGGAACCCUGAUCCAGCCAUGCCGCGUGUGUGAAGACGGCCUUAUGGUUGUAAAGCACUUUAAGCGAGGAGGAGGGUACUGGUAUUAAUACUACCAGGUACUGGACGUUACUCGCAGAAUAAGCACCGGCUAACUCUGUGCCAGCAGCCGCGGUAAUACAGAGGGUGCGAGCGUUAAUCGGAUUUACUGGGCGUAAAGCGUGCGUAGGCGGCUAAUUGAGUCGGAUGUGAAAUCCCCGAGCUUAACUUGGGAAUUGCAUUCGAUACUGGUUAGCUAGAGUGUGGGAGAGGAUGGUAGAAUUCCAGGUGUAGCGGUGAAAUGCGUAGAGAUCUGGAGGAAUACCGAUGGCGAAGGCAGCCAUCUGGCCUAACACUGACGCUGAGGUACGAAAGCAUGGGGAGCAAACAGG